rnacentral:misc_RNA from 1 species
AAGUCGUAACAAGGUUUCCGUAGGUGAACCUGCGGAAGGAUCAUUAACACGAAUUUUAUCCAAUAUCAAAACCCAACGUGAACAUUUACCCUCCCUAUUUUGGUUCUAAGAACCAAAUAGGCUAACAACCCAUAUUUUUAACCACUUUAAUUUUUCAGGCUGCGAUGUGAAUGCCACGAAGUAAUAUUCGUGCGUUGCAUUGUCAGACUAACUAAAUAUAAAUCGCCUUUCAUUUUAUGGAGACGAUUUUCUUUACGAAAUUGUAAGAACAACUCUUAGCAAUGGAUAUCUUGGUUCUC